UUUCCGUAGGUGAACCUGCGGAAGGAUCAUUCAUAAUAAGUGAUUUAUGGCACUUUUCUAAUCCAUAUCCACCUUGUGUGCAAUGUCAGUCGUUCUCUUGUAUGGGAACGACCAAACAUCAACCAACUCUUUAACUCUUUGACUGAAAAAUAUUACGAAUCAAAUAAUUCAAAAUACAACUUUCAACAACGGAUCUCUUGGCUCUC
rnacentral:misc_RNA from 1 species